rnacentral:lncRNA from 1 species
UGCAGUGCCCACGUUUGUUUCUUUCUUGAAAGAAGUGGAGUCUCCUUAUGAAGUCCAUGACUAUACCAGGGCCUAUUUAGGAGAUACUUCUGAGGCUAAGGAGUUUGCUAAGCAGUUCCUUGAGCGCCGUGCCAAACAGAAAGCCAACCAGCAGCGUCAGCAGCAGCAGCAGCAGCAGCAACAGCAGCAGCAGCAACAACAGCAGCAGCAACAACAACAGCAGCAGCAACAGCAGCAGGACUCUGUCUGGGGGAUGAACCAUAGUACACUCCAUUCGGUAUUUCAGACCAAUCAAAGCAACAACCAACAAUCAAAUUUUGAGGCUGUGCAAAGUGGCAAGAAGAAGAAAAAGCAGAAGAUGGUUCGAGCAGAUCCCAGUUUAUUAGGGUUUUCAGUCAAUGCCUCGUCAGAGCGACUGAACAUGGGUGAGAUUGAGACUCUGGAUGACUACUGAGUACCUGCCGCUGUGCCAGCCUUCCCUCUCCUGCCUAGUGACCAUGGUUUCUCCUCAUUGGACACAACAUACGUUCACUAUUUGCUCUGUCACCCUGCAACAAAUCACAGAACCAAUCAUCUCAGGCUUUUUUUUUUUCCUAGCCCUUUGUGUCCAAGAUUACUCUAAAUCACUGUUGGUGAGCAUCUCAGACUGUACCUAGGCGGACCAGACCUUUGUCUUGGGGGUGGCAGCUGGGAUUGCUCCCCAGCAGGGCUAAUGCUGGCAGCACACAUUCACUGUGCGUUGGUUUCAUCUACUGUCUCCUGGAAGUGUGUUGGAAUCUGCCAAUAGCAGAUUACUUUCUCUUGUCGCUCUUCUUGUUCUGUUUUGUUCUUUCUCCCCAUCCCUCUGGCCCACCCCAUACAGGCAAAGGGCCUUAACUGGUGGAGUCGUGAAGAGAGUUAAUGGUUAAUAGACAUGGGCCAGUAACAAACACCCCCGGACAGUAACUUCUCUAUUGCCACAGACAGGCAGAAUCUCUGUCUGGAGGUUGCAUGGCCAUCAGUAACAUGGGGAUUACAUCAAAGGCUGUGAGGGGUAUAGAUUGGCUUGUUUGGUGUUGCUUUCCCUCACUGUUUUUUCUGAAGAAAGAAUUCAUGUGUUCUUCAUUAGAUAGUGACUUUCCAAGCAAGCUGUGGUCUUCCCUGACAUACUCCAACCUUACUACUGGACAAAGGAAACCCUAUGGCCUGGGACAGGGACUUAAUUUUCCUUUCAUAUAAAAACUGAUCCCCUCCUCCUCCCAUAAAUAUUUUUACUUCAAAGGACUAGGACCAGUUUGUUUUGGGCCCUUAUGUGAAAAUUUGUCUCGUUUAAGAGGCAUCUUUACCAUAUGUAUGAAUUUGUGUAAUUUCAACUAAGAUAGGGAUAAAAACUUUUGCUUCUGAUGAAAGCUGGGAAUUUCACCUGUUCCUCAGAGCACCGUGUGCAUGUUUUUCCGUGGCCCUGAAAAGGUCUUGUGGAUCAAUUCUGGGAUGGCAAGUUGCUUGCCUUUUCUGAAAAGAGAAUGUACAAAGCCUGACCAUCUUUAAGACCUUCAUCCGUGGACACCACUGUGCAGGAGGAUGCAGUGGGGUGUGGGGAUGGGCAGCACAGGAGCAGGAAGCCAGCUCCACACUUCCACAGCUAGUCCAAGUGUGCUCAAGCUCUGUAGAAGCAGGCUCUGCCUCUGCGCCACGCCUGGCGAACAUCACCUGGGAUAGUCUAACACCUUGGCGGCAGCUGUGGGUCGGCUGUGCCUGUGCAAGAGGCGCACGCGGUGGUGGGCAGCUCAGCCUCGGUGCCUGGGCAAGGCUGGGGUUGCUCUGAGAGCAGUUCAGUAUUGGAAGAUUAUAUUUGGUUUCUAUUUUUAUUGUUUUGGAUCACCAUUCUCCCUAUCCCUUCUUACCUCUCCCUCCUAAACGUGUACAAUAGCUAUACAGAGACUGCUACAAACUUGUAAAUAGUUUUUGGAUCAAAUAGCAUAAGGAGAUAGGGAACCAUUAAAAUGUGAGACUUCUCUCCUUUGCUUUGUAAAUUCAAAAGGGGGGUGGGGAAGAGGGAUAGUUAAAUGUUUACAAAAAUUUAAGCUCCCUCGGAACUUUUGCCAGUGUGGAGGAAAAUAAAAAAAAAAAAAAAAAACUUAAAUAAAAUGUGGCUGUGGUC